AUCUAGUCUUGUGCAAACUUCAUAUAGCUAAAACUGUAAAUUCUAAUCCUUGUUACAAAUAUGAUAGAACCAUCACAUUUACCACAAAAGAAUGCUUUCAUUUUAGAUACGGUUGCUCCUUUACGCUUAAGGAAGAUUAAGGAAAACAGUCUGACACCAUGGUAUAAUGAGCACACCCGCACGCUAAAGAGAGCAGCGGAAAAUGGAGUGCAGCUGGAGGAAAACAAAACUAGAGGUCACUUAUGGGGAGGGGUGUGACGACCUCUGCUGUUGGUCUUGGGUAUUGCUGCUUGGUACCUGUUUCCACAAAUUAGCAGUCUAUUGGAUACACCUGUGACCAGUGCUUCAGGCGCUCCUUUAAAAAGAGAUCUCCAGUUGAGCCAAGGAGGAACUUUGGGGGAUUU
ensembl:lncRNA